AGGUGCAGCUCUCACUCCCCCCCCCAACCCCAACAGUAAUGUCGGGAACUCACCAGACAAGCGUGUUGGGAGGAGAGGAUUUUGGGACCCCUUUUGGUUACAAACCUGUACCAGAACCCACCUUGAGUGGGAUUUUUGCUCCUCCAUUUACAGUGGCCGCUAUGUCUGCUUCAGGGGCUGUGGAUAUAUCCUCUGAGAAGCAACCUGCUCCGGGAAUGACUGAAGGACAUUCAGCAACACUCAUAGAUAUGGAGUCUGCUCCUUUGUAGGCUCCAGAUGAAACCUCUGAGAAGCGAACACCGAGAAGGUUGAAAGCCCGGU
ensembl:lncRNA